rnacentral:lncRNA from 1 species
AUGGUGGGAUACAGCCUUGUGGGGGGCUGCUCCUCCAUGGAAUGCGUCUCACUCCAUGGAAUGGUGCUCCAUGGGUGGACACAGCUCCAUGGUGGGACGCUGCUCCUCCAUGGAAUGCUGCUCCAUGGUGGGAUACAGCCCCAUGGUGGCAUGCUACUCCAAAAUGGGAUGCUGCUCCAUGGUGGGAUGCUGCUCCUCCGUGGGAUUCUGUCCCACCAUGGGAUUCUGCUCUGUGUUGGGAUGUUCCUGCCCCUUCCUGCCCCCACCUCCCCUCCCAUUCCCGCUGCCCCCUCCCCACGUUGGGAAGGGCCAGGGGAGCAGCCCCGGGAGCCGUGGGGCCGCCCCUUCCCGGAGGUGCCUGAUUCCCUGUUUACACACGGCCUGGCCUCCGUGCCAGGCUGGGCAGUUGUUCCCAGGUCUCCUUCCUCUGCUCCCAACUCUCGGGGGACACACGCCACCUUUCCGGGCUCCUCCUCGAGUCCAUACUUUUGUGGAUGUGGCUUGUCUCUCCUUUCUGCUGCUAAACACCUCCUGGCUCUCCCCUGCUCAUCUGUCCUCCUGGGAAACUUUGGGAAUCAUCACUUUGGGAAUCAUCACUUUGGGAACCAUCACUUUGGGAAUCAUAACGUGGGGAUUUAUGUACAGAAUGAGCUGGGGGUCACAAAGGGUUUUGGGGGUCGAUGGUGACCCCGCUGAACCAGUUCUGGAUCAGGUGUGAGCUUUUGAAAAUCCCCGUGGAUCCGGGAGGGGAAAAGUCUUUAGGUACCUUUUGGUAACUCUUUCAAGCCGGAAAAAAAAAAGUGCUUUUAGGUUUUUCUACCUUUUCAUACUCUUUUUCUAGUUCUUCUACGGAGAAAGCCAGUUCUUCUCACACUGGACUCCAAACUUUUGGCACCUGGGAAUGUUUAUAAGCCACGAGUAGCCUAGAUGGUCCCAGCACCCCCUAUGUCUCCCAAUUUUGCUCUUUUUACUACAGCUCCCAUAGCUUUAAGAUGAAGGGUGGAUGAAGUGGUUUGCUCUGCAGCUGGUUUCACUCUUGGUGUUACCAGGCAGAGAUGUAAAAACCCCAUCCUGAGUUUUGUCUUUUCUUCUUAAUCUGAUUUAUUGUCACAGAGAGUGAAGUGCAGCCGGUCUGACCCGGGGCUCCCACCCCACCCCUUCUCAAACACUGUCACAAAAGUGGUUUGUAAUAAUUUUUUUAACGACUUGCCUAUUUUACAACUCGAAUUCUUAAAACCUUAGACAACAAAAUAAACCUGCAUGAAUAUGGGGGAGCGGGGAGGGG